UGCAGAGGAGACGUUAGUAAUCAAACUUAGCUCUUCUAGACUUGUAAUUGAUGCUUUCCCUGCAUAGUUUCAUCUUUAACUUGCAAAUAUCCAGAGACACGAUGUGUCUUAUAACACGUCAGUUGAGAUCUGAGCAAGAAUCCCUGACAUGAUCAACACCUUUAAACUGCCAUUUUAGAUCCCUUGUCUGCUAACUUGUUGGCAUUCCAACUGGAUGGCUCAGUUUUGGGAUUAUGUCGACGCUUUCAGCAAAUGCAAUUGCAAUACAUAAAGAGAUAUGCCAUGCUGGAGAGCUUCCACUCACUCCUAAUGUGUGCAUUGUAGCUAUGGGCAACAACUUCACAUCCUGCCCUAUCACUGACAUGGCAAACAAGAAUUCUGGGAGCAUCCUGAGGCUGUUUUGCAUUACUUGUCAAAGAAUUUUAAACAACAAUAAGAUUCAAGAACUCAGAAAUGGAUCCUUCUAUGGAUUGUUUACACUGGAAAAAUUGGACCUGCGGAGUAACAUGAUCAGUCGUAUUGAACCAGGUGCUUUUCUUGGAUUGCCAACACUAAAAAGACUAGACUUGUCCAACAACAGCAUCGGCUGUCUGAACAUAGACAUCUUCAAGGGCCUCACCAGUCUGAUUAGACUAAAUCUUUCAGGGAACAUCUUCUCUUCAUUGGCUCAAGGGACCUUUGACAGCUUGGUUUCUCUGAAGUCACUGGAGUUUCAGACACCUUACCUGCUAUGUGACUGCAACCUUCUGUGGCUGCUGCGUUGGAUCAAAGACAGGAACAUUGCAGUCAAGAACACCAAGUGUUCCUACCCCCAGUCUCUUCAGGGUCAGCUCAUUACCUCCAUCAGGCCGGAGCUCCUUACCUGUGAUGCUCCUCUUGAGCUGCCCUCCUUCCAGCUGACUCCGUCCCAACGACAGGUCGUCUUUCAGGGGGAUAGCCUGCCUUUCCAGUGUCAGGCCUCCUUCGUGGCCGAGGACAUGCAGGUGCUGUGGUACCAGAACGGCCGCAUGGUCAAGCCUGACGCUGCCCAGGGAAUCUUCAUUGAGAAGCGCAUGGUGCAGAACUGCUCCCUGAUCGCUAGUGCGUUGACCAUCUCAAACAUCCAGCCUGGUUUUACUGGGAAUUGGGAGUGCCGGAUCCGGACAAGCAGGGGUAACACCACCAGGACUGUCCACAUUGUGGUGUUGGAGAGUUCCGCCAAGUACUGCGCUCCUGAACGCAUUUCCAACAACAAGGGAGAGUUCAGGUGGCCGCGCACCCUGGCAGGAAUCCGAGCCUACCUCCCGUGCAACAGACUGCCGUCAAGCGCAGGCACAUACUCGGGCAGCUCAGGUGAAGAACAGCGGGCGUGGCGCUACUGUGAUCGAGAGGGGCUGUGGGCGGAGGAGGACUACUCCCGCUGCCAGUUCCAGAAGGAUGUCACUAGAUUUCUUUAUGUCAUCAACCAGAUGCCUCUGAACGAGAGUAAUGUGGUUCCCAGGGCUCGACGUCUGUUGGUCUGCACAAUCAAUGCUGCCAACUUCUCAGACAAGAUGGACAUUAUCUUUGUGGCUGAGAUGAUUGAGAAGUUUGGCAAGUUUGUGGAGAAGUUUAAAGAUCUGGGUGAGGUGAUGGUGAGCAUGGCCAGUAACUUGAUGCUGGCCGACGAGAGGGUGCUUUGGAUGGCUCAGCGAGAAGCCACGGCCUGCUCCCGCAUCAUUGCCUGCCUCCAGAAGAUUGCCGUCUAUCGUCUGGCUACAGCGCAGGCCUUCUCCCUGACAUCCCCCAACAUAGCACUGGAGGCCCACACUGUGAGAGCCACCGACUGGAACGGCAUGACCUGCAUGUUAUUCCAGAGGCCCAUCCCUGAGCGGACACCGAGCCAGGACCGCCAGCUCACCUUCAAAUGCAACACCACCAGCUCCUUCUCCAGCAUCCUUCACAAGAGCACCAUUGUGGAGGCUUCCCUGCAGCUUCCUCAGUCUCUCUUUACCCAGGCUGUACCUGGGCAGGCAGAGGACACAGUCUACAAGCUCCACCUACUGGGCUUCCGCAAUGGCAAGUUUUUCCCCUCCACUGGCAACUCCUCCCAACUGGCUGAUGGAGGCAAGAGACGGAGUGUGGCUACCCCUGUCAUCAUGGCCAAGAUAGACGGCAUGUCCCUGCAUGUCCUGCGGACCCCUGUCAACAUCACCCUGCGGCGGUUUGCCCGCGGCUCAGACGCUGUGUCUGCCUACUGGAACCUCAGCCUGGUGGGAGGUCAGGGAGGAUGGCAGAGCGAUGGCUGCCGCAUCCUGGGCCAUCAUGACAAUUUCACCACCAUAUCCUGCAACUCUCUGGGCAACUAUGGCCUGCUCAUGGACCUCAGCAGUGUGGAGUAUUUCUCUCCAGGUAUCCGGCCCCUGCAUCCAGUCAUCUAUGCCACUACUAUUAUACUCCUCCUCUGUCUGCUCACCAUUAUUAUUAGCUACAUCUACCAUCACAGGUCUGUCCGUGUGAGCCGCAAGUUUUGGCACAUGUUGGUCAACCUCUGCUUCCACAUCUCCCUCACUUGCGGGGUCUUCGUAGGUGGGAUCAAUCAGACACGCCACGCAAGUGUCUGCCAAGCAGUGGGUAUCUUGCUUCACUAUUCUACUCUGGCUACAGCUCUGUGGGUAGGUGUGACAGCACGUAACAUCUACAAACAGGUGACACGCAAGGCCAAGCGCUAUGAAGAGCUGGACGAGCCUCCACCGCCACCGCGGCCUAUGCUCAGGUUCUACUUAAUUGGCGGAGGGAUACCUGUCAUUGUCUGUGGGAUCACCGCAGCAGCUAACAUCAAAAACUAUGGAAGCCGGACCAGUGCACCGUAUUGCUGGAUGGCAUGGGAGCCCAGCAUUGGGGCUUUUUAUGGCCCAGUAGGAUUCAUCAUUUUUGUGGACUGCAUGUACUUCCUCAGCAUCCUACUCCAGUUGCGGCGCCACCCUGAGCGCCGCUAUGAGCUCAAGGAGCCGACCGAAGAGCAGCAGCAUCUGGCUUCAGCCAACACUGAGGCCGGGCCAGAUGUUCCCCGCAACCACUGCCAUCCCCUCACUCUCCAGCUCCAGCCUCACGAGGCAUCGUCCUCCAUAAUGUCAGGUCCCCACACAGUGCCCCUGUCUGCCCUGGAGAAUGAACACACCUUUUCUGCCCAGCUGAUGGGUGCAGCAGGGGCAUUAGGGCUGUAUGCAGCCCUCUGGGUUUUCGGUGCCAUGUCUGUAGCACAGGACCACCCCUAUGACUUGGCUUUUACCUGCUUGUUUGGGGUGGCAGCACUGGCGCUCGGGGCAUUCAUGGUGGCACAUCACUGUGUCAAGAGACAGGAUAUGAGGCGCCACUGGUCCCAAGUUUGUUGCUCUGGGAGGCGAGCCUACUCAGCACAGGAGGAUGUCCUUCUGCCUCAGCCAGAUGUGGCAAUGACAUCCACAGCAGGAUCUGCUAAUAAGGCAGAUGGGGAGUCAGCAAAGUGUGGCCACAGCAGUGCAGACUCUUCCUACACAAAUAAGAGCGCCCCAAGCAUGCGCAACUCCACCCAUGGCAGCAAGCUGACUAAUCUGCACGCAGAGGCAGCUCAGUGUAGGUCUGCGUCAGCUCCGGUGACAGCCAAUGGUGCAGCCGUUUUGGACAACAGCCUGACUGAGCAUUCACUAGACAAUGAAAUUAAAAUGCAUGUAUCACCAGUUGAGGUGCAGUUCCGCCCAAUGAACAACAUCAACAAUCCAACAGCUGCCACUAACGGUCACACAAGCAGGCACCAGAAAAACAGAGCACGAGCACACAGAGCAAGUCGCCUGACUGUAUUGCGAGAGUACGCCUACGACGUGCCAACCAGCGUGGAAGGCAGCGUCCAGAGUGCCCCCCAUAGACGGCACCACCAUUAUGACGUAGCGGCACGCAAUAGCCGACGAGCAGCCUACAUGGCCUACAGGGAGAGGCAUCAGAGCCAGCUGCAGCAGGACAGCAGUGACAGUGCGAGCCUGCCACGGCGCUCCCGCUACUCAGAUAAAGGAGGUGGCAGCACCCUGGGGAACGGGACAGUAGUGUCUGCAGAGACUGACCAGGUCACUACUACUGCAGUGUCAAGCUCAAGUAAAGACUCUGGUCCUGUAAAGCAGUCCGGCAGCACAGAACUAGAGGGCCAACCCAAGUCAUAUGGGCUCAACCUUGUCACUCAAAAUGGUGGCACACUUAAAGAAAAUGGGCAAGCGGUGCCUUUAAUUACCACAGAGAGUGCAACCAGUAUAAAGACCGGCUUGUGGAAACAUGAAACUACUGUGUAGUGACGGUUUCCAUCCCAAAGACUGCAUAGUGAUAUGCUCUCGUCUUUAAACUGUGAAAUGUGUUUUUUGUUUUUUGAUUGUACAUUUCUUUCUUGGAAAAAGAGUCCUUUGAAAAUAAUUAUUGGAAAAAAAACUAGCCACAUUUUUUCAACUGAUCUGUCUCUGUAGAUAUGUUUUUGUAAAUGGUCUAUUUUUAUAACUUUACAUCCAACUCCUUUAUUCCAUUUUAGAGUUCUGUAAAUGAAACUGCAUGGUCUGAGCUGUGGCCCUGUGCAUACCCUUACCUCUGGGCUUUUUUUUUUUUUUUCCAUUUUCUAGUUUGUCCCAACAAUAAUAAAACAAAAGUUCCAUUUACCUAAUUGAAAGUUUUUAUCCUUGUGAUAACACCCACAGUCUCAUCUCUUGGGUCUCUGCAGCCAGUGCAAAGGUGGCCUCGGGUUCCUUUCUCCACAGUGGAGCAGCACUUUAAUUGCAUCUGGCUGUGGCUUUGGGCUCUAUAGAUGUUUUCUCCUUGCCUGCCGACAGAUUUGAUGAGUGAACUGUACAUUCUGGUCUCCUGCUGAUUGGAUGCCCAGGCUGUGAUUGACAGCUGACUCACGGGGCAAUUGAAGCUGCCAUGAGAAGACAGGAUAAUGAGAAUAGUGUAUCUUAUUCCCUUUCCACCUCCUUCCAUUCUUUCUCCUCCACAGCCAACAGCUAAACCGAAGUCUCCUUCAAAGCUUGACAUCGCUGUUGGGGAGAGAGAAUAAAACGGACACAAAGUAUGAUUUGACUGCUGGGUACUCUGGAGAUGGAUUAUUAUCAGUUUUUGCUAAGUGAAUACCAUGUAUCUGAUUUUGUGGUCGUGUCAACACCCAGAGACAGUUCAAGUUUGACAUUGUAAGUAAGGAAAGAUUUAUUUAUAUUGCACCUUCCAAAACAAAUAUUAAA